GUGAGGAAUAUUGCACAAUGGGCGAAAGCCUGAUGCAGCAACGCCGCGUGAGUGAUGAAGGCCUUUGGGUCGUAAAACUCUGUCCUUGGGGAAGAAAAAAAUGACGGUACCCUUGGAGGAAGCCCCGGCUAACUACGUGCCAGCAGCCGCGGUAAUACGUAGGGGGCAAGCGUUAUCCGGAAUUAUUGGGCGUAAAGAGUGCGUAGGUGGUUUUGUAAGCGUAGGGUGAAAGGCAGUAGCUCAACUAUUGUUAGCCCUGCGAACUGUGAGACUUGAGUGCAGGAGAGGAAAGUGGAAUUCCUAGUGUAGCGGUGAAAUGCGUAGAUAUUAGGAGGAACACCAGUGGCGAAGGCGACUUUCUGGACUGUAACUGACACUGAGGCACGAAAGCGUGGGUAGCAAACAGGAUUAGAUACCCCAGUAGUCC
rnacentral:rRNA from 1 species